rnacentral:rRNA from 1 species
UGAGGCGUGGCUUCCGGAGCUAACGCGUUAAGUCGACCGCCUGGGGAGUACGGCCGCAAGGUUAAAACUCAAAUGAAUUGACGGGGGCCCGCACAAGCGGUGGAGCAUGUGGUUUAAUUCGAUGCAACGCGAAGAACCUUACCUACUCUUGACAUCCAGAGAACUUAGCAGAGAUGCUUUGGUGCCUUCGGGAACUCUGAGACAGGUGCUGCAUGGCUGUCGUCAGCUCGUGUUGUGAAAUGUUGGGUUAAGUCCCGCAACGAGCGCAACCCUUAUCCUUUGUUGCCAGCGGUUAGGCCGGGAACUCAAAGGAGACUGCCAGUGAUAAACUGGAGGAAGGUGGGGAUGACGUCAAGUCAUCAUGGCCCUUACGAGUAGGGCUACACACGUGCUACAAUGGCGCAUACAAAGAGAAGCGACCUCGCGAGAGCAAGCGGACCUCAUAAAGUGCGUCGUAGUCCGGAUUGGAGUCUGCAACUCGACUCCAUGAAGUCGGAAUCGCUAGUAAUCGUGGAUCAGAAUGCCACGGUGAAUACGUUCCCGGGCCUUGUACACACCGCCCGUCACACCAUGGGAGUGGGUUGCAAAAGAAGUAGGUAGCUUAACCUUCGGGAGGGCGCUUACCACUUUGUGAUUCAUGACUGGGGUGAAGUCGUAACAAGGUA